UCCGAAAUAUUUAAUUCACUGGUAACAAUUAACCCACUGAAAUAAAUUCUUUGUAAAAAUGAAGAAAAAAGAAAACCACAACCCUUUCCCGACAUAGCAUAGCAUUGUUAAAUGCAAUUAGAAAGGAAAACUAAUUCGAAACUCAUCGAAACAAAGUUUUUGUCGACUGGAUCAUCAUCCACGUACUUGAGAGCUCAGCCGCUCCCUUUCGAGAUUUGGUCUCGCUUCCCAAAUGUUGAAGGUUGGCUGAGACUCACUGACUCACUGAGAUGCUGAAGAUGAUGAUGCGGAAUAUAGCUGCUUCUUCUUCUUCUUAUUGCACCAUCAGGAGAUGUAAAGGUAUGCCUUGUCUUCACUCUAACUCCACUCUUGUUGUUUUCGCCAACGAUUACUUUGCUUUCCUUCACUCUCAACCUUUUAAACCAAUCAAAUCUACAAGAACCCAACUAGAGCAGCCAGUGAGAAACUCACCCAAAAUCACAACUGUUGAGGAUGCUUUCAAUGUGUUUGAUAGAGUGCUUCAAAUGCGUCCUCGGCCUUCAGUUGUUCGUUUCACUCAAAUAUUGGGUCAACUUGCGAAAUUGAAACAUUAUUCGGCCGUCAUCACCUUGUAUAACCAAAUGGGUGUGUCGGGAAUUGGACCUAAUGUUUAUACUCUAAACAUUCUCAUAAAUUGUUAUUGUCAUCUAAACCAAAUGGGGUUUAGUUUAUCUGUAUUGGGAAAUUUCUUCAAACUUGGUCUUGAACCAGAUGUCUUUACCUUCACCACUCUAAUCAACGGCUUUCUUCUUGAGAAUAGAGUGGCGGAGGCGGCAACCCUUCUCCACAAGAUGAUGAGGGGAGGUAAUUGUCAGCCUAAUGUGGUUACUUAUGGCACACUAGUAAAGGGCUUUUGCAUGAAAGGUAACAAUAGUGCCGCUAUUCAGUUGCUUAGGAAGAUGGAGGAAGGAGCUUGCAAGCCUGGCCUAGUUGUCUAUAACACAAUCAUCGACAGUCUUUGUAAGGAUACACUAGUUGAUGAUGCAUUAAACCUCUUCUCAGAAAUGAUGUGCAAGGGUAUUUCCCCAAAUGUCAUUACCUAUACAUCCUUGAUUAAUGGAGUUUGCAAAUUAGGCGAGUGGAAAGAAGCUACAAGGUUGUUGAAUGAAAUGGUGAGUAAAAAUAUCUUUCCAGAUGUGUUCACGUUCAGCGUCUUGGUAGACACACUUUGUAAGGAGGGAAUGGUCGUGGAAGCAGAAGGCGUGGUUGAGAUGAUGAUUCAAAGAGAUAUUGAUCCUGAUACAGUUACGUACAAUUCACUCAUGGAUGGUUACUGUUUGCGAGGAGAAAUAGGCAAGGCACAAAAUGUUUUUGAACUAAUGCUUAGCAAGGGCUUGAUGGUUAAUGUUGUUUGUUACAACACAUUGAUAAAUGGAUAUUGUAAGCUUAAAAAAUAGAUGAGGCCAUGAUGCUUUUUCUGGAUAUGUCUCAUAAGGGACUAGUUGCAAAUACCGUUACCUAUAACACUCUUCUGGAUGGUUUUUGCAAAGUGGGUAGAAUAGAUGAUGCACAAAAGUUGUUCUCUGAGAUGCAAGCUUGUGGCCAAGCUUCCAAAUGUUCAAACUUAUUCUAUUUUACUGGAUGGCCUGUGUAAAAACCGACAACUUUCUAGGGCAAUGCAAUUGUUUGGAGAGAUGGAAGCGAAGAAGUUGGAUAUUGAUAUUGUGAUUUACAAUAUUCUUAUUGAAGGUUUGUGCAUAGCUGGAAAAAUUGAAUCUGCAAGGGAUCUCUUUUGUGGUUUAUCAUCAAAAGGACUUCGACCUGAUGUGAGGACAUACACUAUAAUGAUUAAUGGACUCUGUAUCGCGGGCCUAACAAGUGAAGCAGAAAAGUUUCUUAUCCAAAUGGAAGAGAAAGGCUGUUCUCCUGAUGGUUGCACCUAUAACACAAUUAUCCGAGGGUUCAUCCAUAAUAAACAGACAUCAAGGGCGAUGGUACUUAUUCAAACAAUGGUAGAGAAGGGUUUUUCUGCAGAUGCAUCAACAACGGAGUUGAUAGUUAAUUUACUGUCGAAAGAUGAAGUAGAUCCUGCUUUGUUGCCGUUGAUAAAAAAAUCACUGUGAAAUUAAUAUGCAUUUGUGGACAAUGAAAUUUGGAACUGCUGCACCUUCAACGGCCAUAAAGGUAUUACAGUGGUUGUGCAUAUGGCAGGAGGUGAAAAUGCCUUCUCACUUGCAUCCUUAAUUCUGAUGGCAAUUUUGCUUGGGAUUGGAAGUCAUCAUUUCCUUUCUCAUUCGUGACAAUGGACUACUGAAGUGACUGAAUAUGCUCAUCUCCAAUACGAAAGACCUUUAGUCCCUCUCAGCACAUGAAAGUCCGGUACUUUCUAAAUGCUACACUUGAGUUUAGCUGCACCGCACGUUUGGUUUUCUCGUAUAGUUGGCCAACCCUUGGUCCUUAUGAAACAUGAGGCCAUUCUCCAACACAUGCUCAUGCUUUCUUGAUAUUAACAGAUAUCAGGUCGGUGUAGUAUUUUCGCAGUGUUUUUCAUGUCUCUUCAUAUCCGGCUGCACAUAAAAAUGUAUACAUAGCAAACGUUUGUUGUUAGGCUUUGACAAGUAUAACCUUGGAAUUGUUCUUGUUUAUGUUCUGUGUGUCUGGCCAAAAUAGACAACUUUGGCGGGCAUUUAUGAUACAUGAUAAUUGAAUCUUUGGAUA